rnacentral:rRNA from 1 species
CGGGGCUUAAAGUCUUGUAAUUGGAAUGAUGGGAAUUUAAACCUCUUCCAGAGUAUCAAUUGGAGGGCAAGUCUGGUGCCAGCAGCCGCGGUAAUUCCAGCUCCAAUAGCGUAUAUUAAAAUUGUUGCAGUUAAAAAGCUCGUAGUUGAAUUUCUGCUGCAUUGCUUGUGUCCCUCUGGGGUCUGUGCAUUCGGCUUUUUUCGGACGGAGUUUCUUUGUCUGAAUGUUUACUUUGAGAAAAUUAGAGUGCUCAAAGCAGGCUUUCGCCUUGAAUAGUUUAGCAUGGAAUAAUAAAGUAGGACUUUGGUUCUAUUUUGUUGGUUUUAGGUACCAAAGUAAUGGUUAAUAGGAACAGUUGGGGGCAUUCGUAUUUAACUGUCAGAGGUGAAAUUCUUAGAUUUGUUAAAGACGAACUACUGCGAAAGCAUUUGCCAAGGAUGUUUUCAUUAAUCAAGAAC